AUACCAGCAUUCAUGGCUGUUCAACCUCUCACCCGAAAGAAAUUGCUUAUCACCGUAGAUUCAGUUCAAAUUGUUGUUCAGCCUACUGUAAUCCCCUAUGAAUCGGAUACCUCUAUACAUUCUUUAUCACCAGGCAAAUUUGUUGCGGUUCAAGUCACUCAGCAAGGAAAGAAUUUAGUUGUCACUGGCUCUGUCUUGGAAAGUGAUGAAAAGCUGACAGAAUUUUCAAAAACAUUUUCUUUGCCCACUUCUAUCGCAGGAGCCAGUCUCCCAGCUGCACACUGUAUAGUUGAAAGGCUAAGACUAUUUCAUGUGAUCUUAUAGUUAGCACCGUUGAUGAUACCAUUGUGUAUAUUAACACUUCUGGUCCAAAAAUAUCAUGGUACCGUGAAGAAGGUUUAGCCAGUAUUGUUAAUGUUCAACUAAUUGAUCUUGGAGUAUCAGAGGAAGAAGCUGCAAUUGAGAAGGAAUUCAACAAUAAAGAAU
rnacentral:lncRNA from 1 species